rnacentral:rRNA from 1 species
UCUGCUCAAUGAAUAUUCAAUAGCCGCAAUUAUAUUGUGCUAAGGUAGCAUAAUCAUUUGUCUUUUAAUUAAAGACUAGAAUAAACGAUUUUACAUUUAAUUUAUUUUUUAAAAUCUAAAUUUUAAAUUUUUUUUAAAUAUAAAAAAAUAUUUAUAUCAAAAAAAGACAAAAAGACCCUAUUAAACUUUACUUUAGUUUAACUGGGGAAGUUAAUUAAUUAUAAUUUUAAUUUAAAUAAUUUAAAUAUUCCAAUAAUAUUGAUUCAAAUAAGUUACUAUAGGGAUAACAGCGUAAUAUUUUUUAAAGCUCUUAUUAAAAAAACAAAUUACGACCUCGAUGUUGAAUUAUUUUUUCUAAAAAAUGCAAAAAUUUUUUAAGAAAGUCUGUUCGACUUUUAAUUAAUUACAUGAUCUGAGUUCAAACCGGAG